UUAGACCUCUGAACUCUAUGUGGGAUUAGCAGUUCAUUGCUGCUAAUCCCACAGAGAGUUCAGAGGUCUAA